rnacentral:rRNA from 1 species
AACGAACGCUGGCGGCAUGCUUAACACAUGCAAGUUGAGCGAGAACCGGAGGGCUUGCUCUUUGGGGACAGCAGCGCACGGGUGAGUAACGCGUGGAUAACGUGCCCUAGGGUUGGGAAUAACUCGCCGAAAGGUGAGCUAAAUGCCGAAUGUGUUCCAAUAAGGUGCGCCUAUUUGGAAGAAAGCGGGGCAACCCGCGCCCAAGGAUCGGUCCGCGUUCCAUCAGCUAGUUGGUGAGGUAAUGGCUCACCAAGGCUACGACGGAUAGCUGGUCUGAGAGGAUGAUCAGCCACACUGGGACUGAGAUACGGCCCAGACUCCUACGGGAGGCAGCAGUGGGGAAUAUUGGUCAAUGGGCGAAAGCCUGAACCAGCAAUGCCGCGUGAGUGAUGAAGGCCUUAGGGUUGUAAAGCUCUGUCAGUGGGAACGAAUAAGUCGGUUAAUACCCGAUGGUGACGGUACCCACAAAGGAAGCACCGGCUAACUCUGUGCCAG